ensembl:lncRNA
UUAGAGAUUUCCAUUGCCCUCCUGUUUCUCUAGGUGAGAUGUAUAGGCUACCAACUUCUGGUUUAAGUCUCCAGACGGAGUUGUUAUGUCCCCUGAAAUAUAUCGUCUGAAAUAGACUCGGAAAGGAAGGGAGGGAGAAGAAGACUGAAGAAGUUUCAAGCCAAAGUGCUACAGAUCAGCCAACACAAAGAGGGCCAGCAUCUUAAAACUACUCCUAAGCUGGAAACUAAACAUCUCCAGGCUGACAUGAAUGAAAACGAGAAUGAUAAGAAUCACAAGAUCUCUGGCAAAGAUGAAGAGGAUCCCUGAACAAUUCCUGUUGUCUGGCCUCUCUGCCUUUCAAGGCCUGUAAUACAGAAUUGUGAUACUACUAACUGUUAAAGAAAUGAGAGGUAAACAUUGGCAGAAGAGGAACUGGAACGUUCCUUCAACCGCAGUUAUAUUCCAUUUAAUUGAAUUACUGUACAAAAUCAAAAUGACAGUGUUAUUAGCCAGUUAAGCAAUUAAAAGCUGUAUUUAUGUAAUAAUGUUUAUAAGGCUUCAUCAUAACAUAAUUCAUUCAGCACAUUAUUUCCUGCUAAACAUAAACACUAUUAGGAAACACCUAACUACUUUCUGAUUCACUUGCCCUGCAUCACCAUAAUAAAUGAAGACCAAUACCCAUCCAUAUGUAAUGAGUCUCUGCAGCAAAAGCCUUCAAGCAAUGGAAACUUGGAACGUGGGGUGCCACUGUAUUAAUAAAUAUUAAAAACAAAAGGAGAAAAAGUAACCCAACCAGCUCCAGAAGAGUAUGUGGUUGCUCUGUAUGGAUUUAUACUGGAGUAUUGUUUGGUCCUUGACCACACACAGACAUACUUCUUCAAAUGUACAAAACAGAUUUGUCCUACAAUACCAGAUUAGUGGGCAAAUAAAGGCUAAACAUUUAUUUCCAGAAAGGUCAAUCAAAGGAGAGAAGAUGACAAACCCCAGUCUCUCCUGGAAGAUCCUUAUGCAUUAAGAAAUGAGAUGUGAGCUACAUAGAAAGCCCUCUGGCAAGAAGAGUAGAGGCAUCCAUUCGCUGAAUUGCUUAACCACUUUAGAGACUGAAAACUAAUUUCUAAGCUCACUUCUAUCAUUGUAAACUCAAAGAAACUCCCCUGAUUUCAGUGGAGUUGUUACAGACUUUUUAUCAUUUUUACUGAUGUAUAACUUUGUCCUUGAACUCUCCACUUGUCUAAAAGAUCAAUCUUCUCACU